rnacentral:lncRNA from 1 species
AAAUUCUUCCAAAACAAUCUCUGAAAUCAUUAGGAUCAUCCAUAAAAGUUGUUACCUUUCUCAAUUCCUUAAGAUCAAGACAUCUGAAACUGUAUUUGUGAGUAUUCCUUCUUCCAAUAUCCAUGGUCAAAAAAAAAUCUGCGAUGUUUGCAAAGAGAAUCUCUAAGUUCCUUGAAAACUGAUAAAAAUGCUCAUGAAUGCAAUGAGUUCAUGAUGCAAC